rnacentral:rRNA from 1 species
UUAGAGUUUGAUCCUGGCUCAGGAUGAACGCUAGCGGCAGGCUUAACACAUGCAAGUCGAGGGGCAGCGGGGAGUAGCAAUACUCUGCCGGCGACCGGCGGAAGGGUGCGUAACGCGUGAGCAACUUGCCCGUAUCAGGGGGAUAACCGGUGGAAACGCCGCCUAAUAACCCAUAACAACAGAGGUCGCAUGACCAUUGUUUGAAAGAAAAUCGGAUACGGAUAGGCUCGCGAGACAUUAGCUAGUUGGAGUGGUAACGGCACACCAAGGCGACGAUGUCUAGGGGUUCUGAGAGGAAGGUCCCCCACAUUGGAACUGAGACACGGUCCAAACUCCUACGGGAGGCAGCAGUGAGGAAUAUUGGUCAAUGGACGGAAGUCUGAACCAGCCAUGCCGCGUGAAGGAAUAAGGCCCUAUGGGUCGUAAACUUCUUUUGUGGUGGAGCAAUAAGUCCUACGUGUAGGGCGAUGAGAGUACAUCACGAAUAAGCAUCGGCUAACUCCGUGCCAGCAGCCGCGGUAAUACGGAGGAUGCAAGCGUUAUCCGGAUUUAUUGGGUUUAAAGGGUGCGUAGGCUGUUCUUCAAGUCAGAGGUGAAAUACCCGGGCUCAACCCCGGGAACUGCCUUUGAUACUGGAGGGCUGGAAUACUGUUGCCGUGGGAGGAAUGAGUAGUGUAGCGGUGAAAUGCAUAGAUGUUACUCAGAACACCGAUUGCGAAGGCAGCUGACUAAUCCGCAACUGACGCUCAGGCACGAAAGCGUGGGGAUCGAACAGGAUUAGAUACCCUGGUAGUCCACGCAGUAA